AUACGUAGGGGGCGAGCGUUGUCCGGAAUUACUGGGCGUAAAGGGCGCGCAGGCGGCCGAUCAAGUUAGAUGUGAAAUACCCGGGCUUAACCUGGGAACUGCAUUUAAAACUGGUUGGCUAGGAGUGCAGGAGAGGGAAGCGGAAUUCCUAGUGUAGCGGUGAAAUGCGUAGAUAUUAGGAGGAACACCAGUGGCGAAGGCGGCUUUCUGGACUGUAACUGACGCUGAGGCGCGAAAGCGUGGGGAGC
rnacentral:rRNA from 1 species